CUUGCAGCUUCUUCUCUUAGGCAAAACGUCAUUUCUUGUAGUGUCACAACCUUAUGUUUUACUUAAUUAUACUUAGAUCCAGUUCAGUGAGUGUUUUAUAUUAAUCAUCUCAUGAUUACUCUUUUAAUCUAGUAAUCUUCUGAUCACUCUUUUACUCCCCCCUCAAGCUCUGGAGUAAAUGUUUAUGACUCCAAGCUUGACAGAAGAAGAUGUGAUCUCAACCUCACCCAAGG
rnacentral:lncRNA from 1 species